rnacentral:rRNA from 1 species
UACGUAGGGUGCGAGCGUUGUCCGGAAUUAUUGGGCGUAAAGAGCUCGUAGGCGGUCUGUCGCGUCUGCUGUGAAAUCCCGAGGCUCAACCUCGGGCUUGCAGUGGGUACGGGCAGGCUAGAGUGCGGUAGGGGAGAAUGGAACUCCUGGUGUAGCGGUGGAAUGCGCAGAUAUCAGGAGGAACACCGAUGGCGAAGGCAGAUCUCUGGGCCGUUACUGACGCUGAGGAGCGAAAGCGUGGGGGAGCGAACAGG